ACUGUACGCUGUUGCUCCAGAUUCUUUUCUUUAAAUGUUAUGUUUUUAGCUUUGUGUGGAUAAGUCAAAUUACACUUGAAUCUCCUCACAUAGCUUCAUAUAUAGUGGAGGACUGCCUAAAUUUUGCUGACUAACACAGAUCUACCUUGUGAUUACCAAAGUUUUUUUCUCUACUGAUUAUGCUUCCUGGUGUAGAUGUGUAAAUGUAGAGUAUCUGCGUUCCUAUGAGCUGUCAGCCACAUUGGGAAGCCUGUCUAUGAAUCUAAAGUCAGACUUCAAUGAUCCAACCCCACUCUCUGCACACAAGAUUGAUGGCAUGCUGCUGUUGACCCCCAAGAGGUUCAUACAAGUGAGACAGAAGUAAGAACACUGUGAUGGCGGCUGAAGCCCCACGAAACAUGAUCCUACGUGCUGUCGAAUCUGACCGUGUAAUUAAAUUAAAACUUGACUCCCGUCCGGCCUCUUUUGAUGAACUGAUUAAGAUUUUAAAAGAAAAACUGGAACUUGACUGUGAUUUCAAUUUGAAAUACGAAGAUCCAGACUUUGAUGGAAGGCUCACUUGCCUUGUUGACAUAGAGGAGUUACCACAAAAAUACUGUGUUCAUAUUUCCCUUACACAGGAUUCCCGUUCUGUUGCAUCAACUGAUACCUUUUCAGAUGUGUCAUCCCCAGAGCGUCUAAGCAGAUGGCCCCCAGGUCCUUUUCAGAUUCCCAAAUUUCCAUUUGACAUUGAGCUGACACUUAGAGAUGGGAAUACUGAAUUUGAAAAGAAUGAAAGACUUCAGUUGUCAAGAGACCAAAAACAUGGUAUUUUAGAGAAUCUGGCAUCUACCAUAUAUACAGUAGGUUCAAGGCUUACCCUAGUGACAAAGAAAUAGCAAUGGUCUUGUGAGCAAACAUCAUGUUUAAAAGAAGCAGGAUCUGACAGUGGUUGGAAUGGAUGGAAAAACAGCAUCAAGUUCAAAAAGGAAAAUUACAGGACUAAGAAGAGAAGAGCUGGAUGUCAGGAGGUCUCCGUAAAUGCUGGGAAAAGAAGCCAAAGAAACCCAGAGAAUGAACCUUCCCAUUCAAACAUCCAAGCGUGCAGAACUUCCUGCCUAACUUUCCUCAAGGAGAAGACCCCUCUAGUCUGGGCUGUAUGAGGCAGGCUGUUGUUGAGGAAGUAAAGAAGACUGAGAGAAACAUAUGUGUUAUUAGCCGGAUGAUGCAGACAACAUUUGCCUUGAGACGACAGACGAGUCAUGUCCUGCCCUCCUGUGAAAGAGCUGAUGGACCUCUGGCCUGCUCUUCAUAUGCCAGCUGAGGUGUAGGCAGAGUUUCAACGAAUCACAAACCAGAACCGUCCUAACACCUUUUAUGCGCAGCUAGAUCGCCACACUCCUCAUUUGAUGGCCUUAUUCAUACAGAAAGCUUCCAAAACUGGAAAGACUGCAAAUGCUUUGGCUGACAUUGUCAAAGCCCAUGAUGCACAGGAAUUACAUGAUGUCCACACAAGGCGUACCACUGUUCUCCAUGCCCUUCCUGUCUAUCUACGUGAGGAAUCCUCUGGAUUUUUGAGGACAUGUGUGGAUGAUACCAAUGAGCCGGACCUCGGAUGCAGCAGUUGUCCUCCUGACAACCAUCACUGAUGAUGCCGAGAGUCCAGGCAUGCUCAGUUGAAGUUUCCCUCUCUGCGCGUUCAAGAUGUAAGAAAAAUAAUACGAAAGAAAUGCAACAAUGAAAACUUCAAAAAGGCAUCAACAACCAAGCAAGUGGAUCCAUAAAAUGGACUGAUUUUUUUAAAGGCAUUUUUAAAAAGUCUUUCAAAAUGGACAGAAUUAACGUGUUAAACAUGUUCAGAACAGUUUGCGUUCUCAUCUUUGAUUAAUCCUGGUAAACAGGUCUGUUUUUGUUCUGUUCUAAUUCUCUCUGUUUAAUACAUUUAAACAAAAUUACUUAGCUACUUUAUUAACUUUUUUCUCUACAUAAAGACGAAGUAUCAGUAAAUAGUGGAAAUUAAAUGUAUUGGUCGUAAGCAAAUAGCAGAUGUUAAAUGUUACUUGCAGUAUGUGUUUAUAGAAAAAAUAGAGAUACUUAAAUGUACUAAAAGAAUAUUACGUCAAGUUUACUGUAAAGUGUACUUUCAAAACUGUAAGUAUACUCAAUUAUAUAAGAAGUACACUACAAGUAAACAUAUAUUAUUACUUUAAGUAUAAUUUUAAGUAUACAUUCAAAGAGAAAAGUAUACUCAAUUAUUUCAAAAGUACACUGCAAGUAAACGUAUAAUGUUAAAGUUUAUUUUUAAGUAUACUUUAAAGGGCAAAAGUACUCAA